UGUAGAAUAGGAGAAAGAAGGAGUAGAGUACUUCUAGUAUAGGGGAAAGAAGGAGUAGAGUACUUGUAAAAAAGGAGAAGGAAAGAAAAGGAAAAGGAGAGAAUUGUUGUUGACUAAUAAUAGUAAGUGGGCUACCUAGCUCAGCCUUCCUACUGGGCAUUGCUAUAAGUAAGGUUAAAAAAUAGAAAAAAGGGGAAAAAGGUGGG